rnacentral:rRNA from 1 species
UACGGAGGAUUCAAGCGUUAUCCGGAUUUAUUGGGUUUAAAGGGUGCGUAGGCGGUUUGAUAAGUUAGAGGUGAAAUGUUAGGGCUUAACCCUGAAACUGCCUCUAAUACUGUUGAGCUAGAGAGUAGUUGCGGUAGGCGGAAUGUAUGGUGUAGCGGUGAAAUGCGUAGAUAUUAGGAGGAACACCAGUGGCGAAGGCGGAUUGCUGGACAGAGACUGACGUUGAGGCUCGAAAGCGUGGGGAGCAAACAGG